AAGACUAUACUUUCAGGAAUCAUUUCUACAGUGUGUUACUAGAGAAGUUUCUCUGAAUGUGUAGACAAAAAUAAAAAUU
ensembl:snoRNA U3 Small nucleolar RNA U3